rnacentral:rRNA from 1 species
GACGAACGCUGGCGGCGUGCUUAACACAUGCAAGUCGAACGGAAAGGCCCUGCGCUUGUUGCGUGCUCGAUUGGCGAACGGGUGAGUAACACGUGAGGAACCUCCCCCUGUCUUAGUGAUAACUUCAGGAGACUGGGGCGCAUAUCGGAGAUAAGCUACUGCUCCAUGGUGUGGGUUGGAAAGUUUCGGCUGUUGUGUAUGGACUCGCUGCUUAUCAGCUUGUUGGUGUGGUAGUGGCUUACCACGGGUUUGACGGGUAGCCGGCCUGAGAGGGUGAACGGCGUCCUGGGGACUGAGAGAGGGAGCAGAAUGCUAUGGGAGGCAGUAGGGGGGAAUAUUGCAGAGUGGGGGCAAGCCUGAGGUAGAAAUGCCGGGUGCGGGAUGCUGGCCUUCGGGUUGUAAACAGAUUUGGAAUGUGAUGAACAGUGAGUGACGGUAAUGGGUCAAGAAGCCACGGCUAACUACGUG